rnacentral:lncRNA from 1 species
AAAAAACAACAACAACAAACAAACACACAAACAAACAAACAAAAAACCCUCAAUUAUUUAAAGUAGGCACUGAAGAACAGCCAAAAGCAGGAAGAAAUUAGAAUGGAUUCACUCCUUGAGGGGUGAAAAAAAUAGAGACCCACAUUUAUAGGACUUUUAACCAGAGGGCAGUCCUCAGUAUUAAUGGGGAGCAGGGUGGCCAGAACUCAGUCAGAAAGUUGCACUCUUAUUAGCCUGAGUCACCAGGACACAGAGCUGUCUGCUUCCAGAACAACUGAAAAUUGAGAAAGAAAAUCCCAGAAAAUUCCAUGUGUGGGAACCCAAAGAAAAACAACCAUUAGAAGGCUAAAUGAGCUGAACAGAGAUUUCAGCUGCUGCCCAUUGCAGGGAAACAAAGUUUGGAAUCUGAAUUCCACAGUUUCAUGGCCGGGUGAACACUUUGGGCUUUCAGUUAAAACUGGAAGAGGGCCACAUCUUAGGAUAAAAAACCUACGUCCUAAACUAAGGAAGUUGCCCUGGGUCCAAGAACAAAAUUGAAACAGCUUCUCCCUAACAAAAUAUAAAACAAAACCUCUACAAGCUCAAGGUGAUCUGUCAGUAAUUUAAAUACCUGGUAGAACAAAAAUCAGCACUUUUCAGAAGAAGAUAACAGAAUCCAGAGUUUUAAACAUAUCACCCACAAUGCCUGCUAUACAAUCAAAAGUUAUCACUCUAACAAAACAGGAAAAUGAGAGUCAUGGUCAAAAGAAAAAGUGGUCAGUAGAAGCCAACCUCAAGAUGACCCAGAUGUCAAGAUUACCAAAAAACCACUUAAAAACAGGUUUAAUAAAUGUUUAAGGUCUUAAAAGAUUAUCAUAAUGAGAAAAUAGAAGGGGGAAUCUCAACAGAUUAGUGGAAAUUAUAAAAAAAAUACAGUGGAAGUUCUAGACCUAAAAAAUACAAUAUCAGAAAUUAAAUAUUCACCGGGUAGGCUUAACAGCAGAUAAAAGAUGGCAAAAGAAAGGGUCAGUAAAGUUCAAGACAGAUCAAUAGAAAUGAUAAAAUGUGUUGUUUUUACAGAAAAGUGAAGACAACUGGAAAAGCAUUGCAGUGACCUAAGGCAAAACAAACAAUCUAAUAUAUAUGUCAUUGGAGUCCCAGAUAAACAAUGGAAAACUGGGAAAGAAAAUAAAAUGUGAAGAAAUUAGGGUUGAUAAUCAGCAAAUUUGGAGAAAUACAACUUACAGAUGCAAGAAGGUCAGCAAACCUCCAAAGAGAAUAAAUGCAAAGAAAUUUACAGCAUACUACCUUUAA